rnacentral:lncRNA from 1 species
CGCAUUUUCAACCACUCACAAGGCACACUCCAGUUUAACCACAGCCACUACAAAGCUGGGGUGUGGUGCCAAGCCCUUGCUGUGGAGUGAGUCUGGCGCCCGGUGGGCACUUAGCAUAGCUUUGUUGUUCAGGUAUCCCCAGUGACCUGCACUGUUCCUCACACACUGUCCUGUCUGGACAUGCGCUCCUCUCUACGCUGGCUGCGGAAGCACAAAGAAUUGUACACCCCUUCCAAAGUAGACCUGCCAGAGAAUGUAAAACAUCUUUUAUUGCUUGGGUUAUUCUAUUUCUAUCAGAUCAUGUAGCUGACAGUCCAUCAUUUCUGUGCAAAUUUGUCUGGUUGGAUUUUUAGAUUCCAUUGUAGAGUCUUCUAUUAAUCCCCACGCGUUCCUGUUUCUUGGAUCUGACAUGUCAUUCCAGUCAGGCAGUGGGAUCUUUUGGAAUUUUGAUGUCACGUGUUUGUAGCCCCCUUUAGCUUCGCACUCUCCACA